rnacentral:rRNA from 1 species
UAGGGAAUAUUGCACAAUGGGGGAAACCCUGAUGCAGCGACGCCGCGUGAAGGAAGAAGUAUCUCGGUAUGUAAACUUCUAUCAGCAGGGAAGACAAUGACGGUACCUGACUAAGAAGCCCCGGCUAACUACGUGCCAGCAGCCGCGGUAAUACGUAGGGGGCAAGCGUUAUCCGGAUUUACUGGGUGUAAAGGGAGCGUAGACGGACGGGCAAGUCUGAAGUGAAAGGCAGGGGCUCAACCCCUGGACUGCUUUGGAAACUGUCCAUCUGGAGUGCCGGAGAGGUAAGCGGAAUUCCUAGUGUAGCGGUGAAAUGCGUAGAUAUUAGGAGGAACACCAGUGGCGAAGGCGGCUUACUGGACGGUAACUGACGUUGAGGCUCGAAAGCGUGGGGAGCAAACAG